rnacentral:tRNA from 1 species
CCGGCUCCUUGGUGCGGAGGUCAGGCACAUGCUGCUCCUGAUAGGGGAUCAGGAAGGUGGGCGCAUUAUCGGGGUUCAACGCGUCGGCGACCGGA